UUCUUGCUUGCAAUAUCAUUAUUUUUUCAUUACAAAAUAACACUAGUUUGGGAAAAUUGUUUGUAACAUGUAUUUAUCACUUUUUGUACUCUACUGUCUACUGUUUAGUGUUGGUAAUAUGUCUAUGGUUCUCAAAAGGAAAUCAUGUCAUUCACAAGAGUCAUAAAAAUGUUUUCUUUGAAAUCCACCUUAAACUCAGCUCCUUUAUUGGCUGUCAUGAACUCUGCUUUAUAAUUCAUAAUUGUUUCUCUUUUUGGGCUUAUUUUAAGUUACCACAUUUCAAUUUCUAUUUCAAUAUCUGUUCAGUUAGGUACAUUUGUUUAUUACCUAUUGUCAGUAGUUGGAUUCUGAAGAGACAGUUUCCAAGAAUUGGAAAGUAUAUUUUAAAAAGAAAUAGAUUACUUUCUGAAAGUUAAUCUACAAAGUCAGUGCUCAGUAAGUCACAUGCAAAUGCAACUGACAAGGAAGAAUGGCUGUUAGAUCAAGGAAUUGAGUGGCAUAAGAUUGAUGUCACAAUGUUGUCCAACAGGGAUGUUCCAAUUAGAACUAGGAGCAAGGAGGGUGUGAGAGGGAGGUGAGAAAGAUGUCUAGGACAGAGAAAGGGAGGUUGCAGUAUUCCACAUUCCAGUGCAAGCACGAGGAGGCGCAGGAGAGGGAGACACUUAAGUCAAACACCUACCACAUUCAUAUCUACUGACACGCCAGCACUGAUUUCAAGGAGAAUAUAUCCAUACCGCAUACAGGAAGAAAAUCAACACCAUGUCAAAAAUUACACGCAAGUGAGGAAACACACCAAAUCUAAAUCACAAGGAAAUCUCAUUCCCAGUAAGUGGCCUAUGAAACAAACUUCAAUAAUCUGCUGAAAGAAGCCUCUUCUCAUAUUUUAUGGGAAUAGAGAGAAAAGAGAGACUUCAAGAUAAUGAGGGAGAGAAGAGUUCUUACAUAUCAAGAAAAAUCUUCAAGACUGAAAUGGCACUUCUCACAGCAUUCAUAUGAACUGCAUAAAGCCAAUUCAGGGAAUACGGAUUAGGUAUACUUUUCCCUAAUCCUCCUGCUAAGUAAACUGAACAAAUCUGAACAUGAUACACAGAACAAAUGUAAAAAUACCCUGAAAAGUGGAGAGAAGCCAAAUUUCAGGACUUGAAGAACAACACAGUGGUGAGUUCUGUGGGUUUUCUAUUUUUCUUUUUUUCAUAUAUCCCAGACUUGAAGCUGAAGAAG